UACACUCCUGCGGGAGGCAGCAGUGGGGAAUUUUGGACAAUGGGCGAAAGCCUGAUCCAGCAAUGCCGCGUGAGUGAAGAAGGCCUUCGGGUUGUAAAGCUCUUUUGUCAGGGAAGAAACGGUGAGAGCUAAUAUCUUUUGCUAAUGACGGUACCUGAAGAAUAAGCACCGGCUAACUACGUGCCAGCAGCCGCGGUAAUACGUAGGGUGCAAGCGUUAAUCGGAAUUACUGGGCGUAAAGCGUGCGCAGGCGGUUUUGUAAGUCUGAUGUGAAAUCCCCGGGCUCAACCUGGGAAUUGCAUUGGAGACUGCAAGGCUAGAAUCUGGCAGAGGGGGGUAGAAUUCCACGUGUAGCAGUGAAAUGCGUAGAUAUGUGGAGGAACACCGAUGGCGAAGGCAGCCCCCUGGGUCAAGAUUGACGCUCAUGCACGAAAGCGUGGGGAGCAAACAGGAUUAGAUACCCCAGUAGUCCCAUGAU
rnacentral:rRNA from 1 species